UGGGGAAUUUUGGACAAUGGGCGAAAGCCUGAUCCAGCAAUGCCGCGUGUGUGAAGAAGGCCUUCGGGUUGUAAAGCACUUUUGUCCGGAAAGAAAUCCUUGGCUCUAAUACAGUCGGGGGAUGACGGUACCGGAAGAAUAAGCACCGGCUAACUACGUGCCAGCAGCCGCGGUAAUACGUAGGGUGCAAGCGUUAAUCGGAAUUACUGGGCGUAAAGCGUGCGCAGGCGGUUUGCUAAGACCGAUGUGAAAUCCCCGGGCUCAACCUGGGAACUGCAUUGGGUGACUGGCAGGCUAGAGUAUGGCAGAGGGGGGUAGAAUUCCACGUGUAGCAGUGAAAUGCGUAGAGAUGUGGAGGAAUACCGAUGGCGAAGGCAGCCCCCUGGGCCAAUACUGACGCUCAUGCACGAAAGCGUGGGGAGCAAACAGGAUUAGAUACCCUGGUAGUCCACGCCCUAAACGAUGUCAACUAGUUGUUGGGGAUUCAUUUCCUUAGUAACGUAGCUAACGCGUGAAGUUGACCGCCUGGGGAGUACGGUCGCAAGAUUAAAACUCAAAGGAAUUGACGGGGU
rnacentral:rRNA from 1 species